UUUAUAGCUUGGUGGACUGAGGCAAUGCAGCUUAAGUGUCUUGUCCAAGGACACAGUCAGGUACCAUGACUGGGAAUCAAACUCAGGUCUCCAUAUUGGU